rnacentral:tRNA from 1 species
GGGCCCGUAGCGUAGUCAGGAUAGCGCAGCCGGCUUCGGACCGGCAGGUCGGGGGUUCAAAUCCCUCCGGGCUCA